CCUACGGGAGGCUGCAGUAGGGAAUAUUGCUCAAUGGGGGAAACCCUGAAGCAGCAACGCCGCGUGGAGGAUGAAGGUUUUCGGAUUGUAAACUCCUUUUGUUAGAGAAGAUAAUGACGGUAUCUGACGAAUAAGCACCGGCUAACUUCGUGCCAGCAGCCGCGGUAAUACGGAGGGUGCAAGCGUUAUUCGGAGUCACUGGGCGUAAAGAGCGCGUAGGCGGGAUAGCAAGUCAGAUGUGAAAUUCUUUGGCUUAACCAUAGAACUGCAUUUGAAACUGUAAGUCUAGAGUAGAGUAGAGGUAGGUGGAAUUCUUGGUGUAGCGGUGAAAUGCGUAGAGAUCAAGAGGAAUACUCAUUGCGAAGGCGACCUACUAGAACAUAACUGACGCUGAUGCGCGAAAGCGUGGGGAGCAAACAGGAUUAGAUACCCUAGUAGUC
rnacentral:rRNA from 1 species